UUUUUUUUUUUUGUCUUUGUUUAGUUGCCAAGUCCAAGGAGGAAAAAGAAAGCCCAACCUUUGUCUGAAAUUAGCCCGAGGCCCAGCCCUUGUUUGAAACUAGCCCGAGGCCCAACUUAAGACCAGCCAAGCCCAGCCCUUGUUUGAAACUGGCCCAAGGCCAAGGUUAAGACCAGCCCAAGACUAUGUUUUGCAGUGCCCUAACUGCACAGCAGGUCAUCCCGUGCUUCUUCCUCAGCUUGUCCAACCAUUUUGCGCAGCUUUCAGUAUUCUCCUCCCCAGCGUUCCUUCACCCUUCCUUCAUAUAUAUAUAUAUAUAUAUAUAUAUAUUUUAAAUUCCCAAGUCCUAACUUCCCCGUGCCCCCAUCUUUCUCUCUCCACAUUUUCAGAAAACAAACUCAGGUCGAGGCUGGUGCUGCUACCUUGCUGCCAAGUUUUGAGAAGUGUUGCGGAUAUGGCUGUAGCGGUGAGUUAUGCAGCGGUGAGUGAAGCCCGGCACUCUGUGGCUGCUGAAAAUUGCAGCUUUCAUGAGUUGGAGUUUGUUGUAAAAUUGUAUGUGGAGGAGUAUCUUUUGAUUGCCCUCAACCUCGUAGCAUAAUAUUCAAUGCUUCCUAACUGUGUUUGUUGUAAAUUUGUAUGUGGAGGAGUACAUCUUUGAUUGCCCUCAACCCCAUAGCAUAAUACUCAAUGCUUCCUAACUGUGUUUGUGGAGGAGUACAUCUAUGUUUAAAGUUUUUUGUUUGUAUGAUUGUGGUUGGACAGAUUGCUAAAAUGUUGGGUUUUGGUGAUUAUUUUUUUAUUUUUUUAUUUUUUUAGUUUUUUUUGUUUUUGGAUAUUUGUAGCAAAGGUUUGUGUUGGAAAAUAGUUUAUUAGCUAAAAGUUGUGGUUGUGGCUUGAUUGGUGUAGGUUUAUUAAUGGUAGGUUUUUGGUUGUAGAUUUUUGUUUGGACACAUAGCUUGGAUAGGUAAAGGUAUUACUAGGACAUCAUAAAUUGAUUUUGCUUUACGUUAUCUUGAUCAAGAGUGUGUGAAGUUUUUUACAUGUUUUAGUAUUGAAGCUUUUUUAGCUAAAACUUAUAGGUGAAGCUUUAUGGUUGAAGCUUUUAUGUUGAAGUUUUGUAGAUUAAGCUUUUAUGUUGAAGUUGGGCACCAUAAAUUAAUUUUGUUUCACACUAUCUUAAUUAAAAGUGUGUGAAGCUUUUAACAUUUGUAGUUGCCUUCUAUUUGUUGAAGCUUUUGUUGGGUACCAUGAAUUGAUUUUACUUCACAUUAUCUUGAUCACGAGUGUGUAAACUUUUGACAUUUGUAGUUGCCUUUUAUUUGUUGAAGCUUUUGUUGGGCACCAUGAAUUGAUUUUGCUUCACAUUAUCUUGAUCAAGAGUGUGUAAGCUUUUGACAUUUGUAGUUGCCUUUUAUUUGUUGAAGUUUUUGUUGGGCAUCAUGAAUUGAUUUUGCUUCACACUAUCUUGAUCAAGAGUGUGUGAAGCUUUUGAUAUUUGUAGUUGCCUUCUAUUUGUUGAAGCCUUUUCUUUUCGGAUUUUUUUUUUAUUUUUUAUUUUUGGAAAUUGGAAUUUUGAAUUUUGAAUGUUCCUAGCUUACAUGGAAGUCUCAAGGCUUUACAAAUGGGGCUUUCUCAUGGGUUGAGUUUGAAUUUCUUUGGCCAUGUUUAACUAUAUAAUAAGGAUAAGUUUCCACUCUUUACAUUGCUUUCACUUGCUCCUUUUGUAGUGAGUAGAAUAUCAGAGUGUGUAACGAACAAAACUAACAAACAUAAUAAGAAUAUUAUUAAACAAACUGAGAAUGCCGGAACGGCUACAAAACCCUAAGAGACUACAUUGUGAAUAACUUAUUCUCUAAUGAAUAACAAAGCACUCUAUUUAUAAUAAACUAACCCUAAUCUCUAACAAAACCUAAUUCUAACAGGCUGAGCCCAAAUCCUAAAUCUAUUAUUUUCCAACACCCCCGGUCAAACUCAUAGCGGUAAACAACAUGAGUUUGCCAACAAGUAGAUGUGGGUUUCGUUAGUCGAACAAACAAGCAUGCUCCGCAACGAGGACAGACAGACAGGCAGGCUCCGCAACGUGGAUAGGCAGACAAGCAGGCUCCAUAACUCGGAUAGGCUUUGUUAGGCGG
rnacentral:lncRNA from 1 species